rnacentral:rRNA from 1 species
CCCUUUGGUGAGGAAUAACACGAGGAAACUUGUGCUAAUACCUCAUAAGUCUUUACGGAGAAAGCUUUAUGCGCCAAUGGAUGAGCCCGCACUUGAUUAGUUUGUUGGUGGGGUAAUGGCCUACCAAGACUGUGAUCAAUAGCUGAUCUGAGAGGAUGAUCAGCCACAUUGGGACUGAGACACGGCCCAAACUCCUACGGGAGGCAGCAGUAGGGAAUAUUGCACAAUGGAGGAAACUCUGAUGCAGCGAUGCCGCGUGAGUGAAGAAGGCCCUUGGGUUGUAAAGCUCUUUCGUCGGGGAAGAAAAUGACUGUACCCGAAUAAGAAGGUCCGGCUAACUUCGUGCCAGCAGCCGCGGUAAUACGAAGGGACCUAGCGUAGUUCGGAAUUACUGGGCUUAAAGAGUUCGUAGGUGGUUAAAAAAGUUGGUGGUGAAAUCCCAGAGCUUAACUCUGGAACUGCCAUCAAAACUUUUUAGCUAGAGUAUGAUAGAGGAAAGCAGAAUUUCUAGUGUAGAGGUGAAAUUCGUAGAUAUUAGAAAGAAUACCAAUUGCGAAGGCAGCUUUCUGGAUCAUUACUGACACUGAGGAACGAAAGCAUGGGUAGCGAAGAGGAUUAGAUACCCUCGUAGUCCAUGCCGUAAACGAUGUGUGUUAGACGUUGGAAAUUUAUUUUCAGUGUCGCAGCAAAAGCAGUAAACACACCGCCUGGGGAGUACGACC